rnacentral:lncRNA from 1 species
CAGGCAUUGUUCUAGUAGUAGUCAUAAUACAUCAAAAAAACCUAACAGAUGAAAUUGGACACAGAAUUUCUUUUAUAACUUUAGUAUAUGUUAGUUUUCAUCUAACGAUGUUGUAUUUAGAUAACGUAAGCUACAAAGAACUAAAAUAAAGAAACAGAAGGCAAUAAAAGGCAUCUUUACACCAUGACUAAAUUUUUUCAAUGAAAAAAAAUCAUAUUUGCCUAGGUCUGGCCUCAGUAAACGUAUUCACCAAUGUGAUUGAAAAUGGAAAGAAGGAAAUAUGUACUGCUUGUUCUUUAUCUCUAGACAUUAUAUCCUCUAUAGCUAAUUUCAACAUAUUUGUUUAACCAACUUCUAUCCGGUAUGUUUUUUCCCAAAGCAAGUUUGCCAGCUUUUGCAUUUUAAAAAAUUAUGGCCUGGCACGAUGGUGAGACACCUGAGGCAAAGAUGAAAUAUUAGUCACCUGAAAAAGGUGGAACAGGGAUCUAAAGCGUGAACAUUGUACAAAACUGAAGAUUGAAAACUUCAAAAUGAAAAAGGUAAGGAAAAUGUCGAAUUUAAUAUAAAGCUUCUCAAACAGUUGCAUCUCACCAUAAGUUGGCGGGAAAGUGAGGGUGAAGUAAAUAAAUUACAAGAACAUGACGAAUUUACUCUGUCUAAGUUGACAUUUAAUAUCGACAGCCAUAUUUCCCUAAAUAGAUAACUUAAUCUCAAUUCAAAUUAAGUUUCGGGGACAACUUCUCGUUAUAUACUUAAGUCCAUUAACAUUUACAUUUUCAUAUUAAGGAAGUUAAGGUUCUAAGCAUAACUCAAGGUUCAUAUGUCAUUGGAUCUUACAACUGAACAUUCAAUUGUAUCAGCAACCACAGUUGGAGAGUGGCGACAUAUUAAGCAUCAGAAAUGUUAUGAGGGAAUAGUAACAGAUAUUGCACCAGAUAAAUGAGGAAGAAGUCUCCAUAUUCAUCCCGAAAUAAUACAACAGAAGGAGUCAUUAUUCAUUAUUAAUGUUAGCUUAAUCAAUGAUUAUUUAUUUAAGCAAAAGUCGGUCAAAGAAACUUAACUGAACGUGGCAUAUUCACUUGCGCUAAUUCAGAAGCUCUGAGAUGGCCCGAAAAAACUGCUAAAUAUGCAUAUCAUCUGUUGCUUCCUGCUCCCUAAUUUUAAAUGACUGGUCCUCCAUACUAAGUAAAACUGUCGAGAUAUAGAGCCAUAAAAACCAUCCUUCUCCAGUAGGCAAAAGUUACAAAAAAUGAGAAAGAUAAUUCCUGAAAGUAGACAUUAUUUAGACCUUCACUAAUUUUGAUUUUGAUUAGUUGAAAAUCUCAAGUCAAGUAUAAUAACCGGAAUGUUUGGGAGGGAGAUGCACUCCUAGAUGAGUAAAUAUUCAAAAACAAACACUAAACGCAAGUCAAAUAAAGCAUAAACACAAGUAUAACUGCAGAGCCAUAUUUAAGAUUAUAAUCAUCUUUUUUACAACCAAAAGAUUAGACUAUGCACGCUUUACAAAAUCAAAAGACCUCAAAUACCAAGCUAGAACUGUGAACGAACAAAAUGACACUAUCAAUCAAAAUCCAAAAUUCAAUCAAGUUCUUUCUGAACCAUAAUAUCCAUGGAUUUGUUGUACCAGUAAUAGACCUUCAAAAUCAACUAUAACGGCAUAUAUUAACACAAUGGAUCGCUAUGUUUUAGCGCAGUUUCAUAAUUAUGCUUAGGGAUAAAUAAUAACAAUUGCAGUAGUCAUUUCAUAGCUAAUGCUUUCAAUUAUAUAGCUGAUUGAUUGUUGCAGUGGUAACCACUGCCAACAGAUAGACAAUACAAUAUUAGUUGUUCAUCUCUGACCCGAUAUUGCUUCUUUAGGCAUUUAUACACUGCAUCAAUGUUCGUGUACAUAUUACACUCAGAUGGCUGAUUUAGAGAAGGAUAAUUUUUCAUAUUAUGAGUAAUAGCUAACAACAAUAAGGAAAAUAAACCCAUAAGAUAAUGUAAAUACUAUCAUAAAACAUUCUCGAAAAUGAAAGGUUUUCCACUGAUGCUUCGUUAAAUAUCUAACUUCGUUUUUGUAAGGUUCUUAGAUAUCUAUUCGAGACUCCCAAACAAGUACUGUAUGACACUAAGAUAGAAAAAGGCAAAGAGAGACAAAAGAAAGAGUAGAAACAACAUUCUAAUUAUAUCUAAAUGCCCAAAUCAAACAUACAGCUAAAACUAAUGUAACAGGGAAGCAACAAUUUUUCUGGACAUUCAAUAACAACAAACCCAGUGUAAUCUCACAAGUGGGUCUAGGGAGGAUAAAAUGUACGCAAAUAUUAAUCAUACCUUUGUGUAGUAGGGAAGUUGUUUCUGAUAGACUCUCAACUGAAAGAGAAGUAAUCAAAGAUGGAUGCAAGAAAAAUAAUUUUUUGAACAUCCAUGAAGAUUUAAUGACCUUACUCAUACAAUAAGUUUUUCACCUUAUUGUAUGAUAAGAUAGGUACUCCAUAUUAACAUAUACCUAAAAGUAUACUUGAUGAACAGUAGCAUAUUAACUAAAUGACCUUCAACUACCUUUCUCAAUAAAAAACAUAUCAACUAAACUGUUAUACGUUGCAAGAAAUCAAAAAGUAAUUAUCCAUUUUUGAAACAAAAAACAUACCAUAGAGCCUCUACCUCACACACAAAAGACCAAAAAAUCAAAGAUGAAGUAUCUUCUGGGCAUAUUGAAAUCAUCAACUUCACUGAGUAUUUCAAAAUGAAAUAUUCAAGCUUUUAAUAGUUACGUACAACCAAUGAGACACAACUUCUUAAAGUCUGUUAUUCGUACUUAAAGGAGGUUAAUGGCUCAAGGAAACCCUAGGACACUAGGGUUACCUGGAGCUAGAAC